AGAGCGAACGCUGGCGGCAGGCCUAAUACAUGCAAGUCGAGCGGGUGUAGCAAUACACCAGCGGCAGACGGGAGAGUAACACGUGGGAACGUGCCCUUCAGUUCGGAACAACCCAGGGAAACUUGGGCUAAUACCGGAUACGUCCGUAAGGAGAAAGAUUUAUCGCUGAAGGAUCGGCCCGCGUCUGAUUAGCUUGUUGGUGGGGUAAUGGCUCACCAAGGCGACGAUCAGUAGCUGGUCUGAGAGGAUGAUCAGCCACAUUGGGACUGAGACACGGCCCAAACUCCUACGGGAGGCAGCAGUGGGAAUAUUGGACAAUGGGCGCAAGCCUGAUCCAGCCAUGCCGCGUGAGUGAUGACGGCCUUAGGGUUGUAAAGCUCUUUUGGCGGGGACGAUAAUGACGGUACCGCAGAAUAACGCCCGGCUAACUCGUGCCAGCAGCCGC
rnacentral:rRNA from 1 species